rnacentral:rRNA from 1 species
GUGCCUAACACAUGCAAGUCGAGCGAAGCACUUUGCUUAGAUUCUUCGGAUGAAGAGGAUUGUGACUGAGCGGCGGACGGGUGAGUAACGCGUGGGUAACCUGCCUCAUACAGGGGGAUAACAGUUAGAAAUGACUGCUAAUACCGCAUAAGACCACAGCACCGCAUGGUGCGGGGGUAAAAACUCCGGUGGUAUGAGAUAGACCCGCGUCUGAUUAGCUAGUUGGUAAGGUAACGGCUUACCAAGGCGACGAUCAGUAGCCGACCUGAGAGGGUGACCGGCCACAUUGGGACUGAGACACGGCCCAAACUCCUACGGGAGGCAGCAGUGGGGAAUAUUGCACAAUGGGGGAAACCCUGAUGCAGCGACGCCGCGUGAGCGAAGAAGUAUUUCGGUAUGUAAAGCUCUAUCAGCAGGGAAGAAAAUGACGGUACCUGACUAAGAAGCACCGGCUAAAUACGUGCCAGCAGCCGCGGUAAUACGUAUGGUGCAAGCGUUAUCCGGAUUUACUGGGUGUAAAGGGAGCGUAGACAGAUGGGCAAGUCUGAUGUGAAAACCCGGGGCUCAACCCCGGGACUGCAUUGGAAACUGUUCAUCUAGAGUGCUGGAGAGGUAAGUGGAAUUCCUAGUGUAGCGGUGAAAUGCGUAGAUAUUAGGAGGAACACCAGUGGCGAAGGCGGCUUACUGGACAGUAACUGACGUUGAGGCUCGAAAGCGUGGGGAGCAAACAGGAUUAGAUACCCCUGGUAGUCCACGCCGUAAACGAUGACUACUAGGUGUCGGGUGGCAAAAGCCAUUCGGUGCCGCAGCAAACGCAAUAAGUAGUCCACCUGGGGAGUACGUUCGCAAGAAUGAAACUCAAAGGAAUUGACGGGGACCCGCACAAGCGGUGGAGCAUGUGGUUUAAUUCGAAGCAACGCGAAGAACCUUACCUGCUCUUGACAUCCCGCUGACCGGACGGUAAUGCGUCCUUCCCUUCGGGGCAGCGGAGACAGGUGGUGCAUGGUUGUCGUCAGCUCGUGUCGUGAGAUGUUGGGUUAAGUCCCGCAACGAGCGCAACCCCUAUCUUUAGUAGCCAGCGGCCAGGCCGGGCACUCUAGAGAGACUGCCGGGGAUAACCCGGAGGAAGGUGGGGAUGACGUCAAAUCAUCAUGCCCCUUAUGAGCAGGGCUACACACGUGCUACAAUGGCGUAAACAAAGGGAAGCGAGACCGCGAGGUGGAGCAAAUCCCAAAAAUAACGUCUCAGUUCGGAUUGUAGUCUGCAACUCGACUACAUGAAGCUGGAAUCGCUAGUAAUCGCGAAUCAGAAUGUCGCGGUGAAUACGUUCCCGGGUCUUGUACACACCGCCCGUCACACCAUGGGAGUCAGUAACGCCCGAGGUCAGUGACCCAACCGUAAGGAGGGAGCUGCCGAAGGCGGGACCGAUAACUGGGGUGAAGU